UUUGCCACCAAGCCUGAUGACCUGAAUUCUGUCCAGGGCCCACAAAAUAGUGGAAGGAGAAAACACUCUCGCAAGUGGUCCUCUGGCCUCCUCCAUAACAGCUCUGCGGCACACUUCGGUGCACACACACGCAUGUGGACACACACAGCUGGAGAUGUGAACUUCCAUCUGCUUCCGCCGCUGGCACAAUGUCUGCCGCCGCCACCGUGUCUGCUGCCGCCCCCGUGUAUGCCACCACCGUGUAUGCCGCCGCCACCAUGUAUGCCGCCACUACCAUGUCUGCCACCACCAUGUCUACUGCCGCCGCCACCAUGUCUGCUGCCCCCACCAUGUCUGCCGCCGCCACCAUGUCUGCCGCCGCCACCAUGUAUGCCACCACCAUGUCUGCCGCUGCCACCGUGUCUGCAGCCUGGUGCCACAGUUCCCUGCCACGAUGGACUUUUCCCCUUCAGGAACCAUAUGUUCAAAUAAAUCUUUUCCUUGUGUGAGUAUCA